rfam:Oryza glumipatula chromosome 4, whole genome shotgun sequence.
UUCUAUUACACUAUUUAUAUUCAAUGAUGAACGUUUGACUGUUUGUCUUAUUUAAUUUUUUUAUUAGUAUUUUUUUUUGUUAUUAGAUGAUAAAACAUGAAUAGCACUAACAUUUUUUUUCAUAAACUUUUUAAAUAAGACGGACAGUCAAACGUUAUACACGGAUACCCACAACUGCACUUAUU